GAUGAACGCUGGCGGCGUGCCUAAUACAUGCAAGUCGAGCGAACAGACGAGGAGCUUGCUCCUUUGACGUUAGCGGCGGACGGGUGAGUAACACGUAGGUAACCUACCUAUAAGACUGGGAUAACUUCGGGAAACCGUAGCUAAUACCGGAUAAUAUUUCGAACCGCAUGGUUCGAUAGUGAAAGAUGGCUUUGCUAUCACUUAUAGAUGGACCUGCGCCGUAUUAGCUAGUUGGUAAGGUAACGGCUUACCAAGGCAACGAUACGUAGCCGACCUGAGAGGGUGAUCGGCCACACUGGAACUGAGACACGGUCCAGACUCCUACGGGAGGCAGCAGUAGGGAAUCUUCCGCAAUGGGCGAAAGCCUGACGGAGCAACGCCGCGUGAGUGAUGAAGGUCUUCGGAUCGUAAAACUCUGUUAUUAGGGAAGAACAAACGUGUAAGUAACUGUGCACGUCUUGACGGUACCUAAUCAGAAAGCCACGGCUAACUACGUG
rnacentral:rRNA from 1 species